rnacentral:lncRNA from 1 species
AAAGUGGCGGAUAUUAAAGCCUCAUCAAUUGAAGUUCCACAAAAAAAGAAUGGUCCAAACUCAUGCAAAAUCAAGGUUGCAAUAACAUGAAAGCCACUACUAAAAGUAAUUAAUGGUAUCUAUGGAAACUUCAAAUAACAGCCUUUUAGCUACCAACUACCUAGCCAGCAAUUCAUAAUUUCAAACACAUGUAUAGUUUGUAUAUAUAUAAAGCAUAGGAGGAAGCCUGGAAAUUACUGUCUAUCUUGAUUAGGGUAAACUUGGAACAAAAGUCAGAAUGCUAUUUAUUCUUACCAUUCAAAGCAUGUUUGGGACACUAUUUCACUGUAAUUGUUUGCUUUCUAACCCGUGCAGGCAGUACAAUGCCUUCACCCAUCGUCUACUAUUGGGCUUUUGCCUGCCCCACUUGAACUGAUUAGAAGAACAGCCAUAGUUCUGCAUGCUAGGGUUAAAUUUAAGCCCAUUAAGAAUUGCCAUAUCAGGAGGCCUCAAGGAUAAGAAAUAUGUACACCUGUGCAGGACAAUUAAGCACUUUAGUUGAUUUUGUAUCUUUGAUCAUUGUUCCAAGAUGAUUAUUCUUACACCGCCAUUGUAAUUAAAAAAACUCCAUCACGUGUAGAAUUACCACUACAAGUUGGUUUUGUACAUUUGAUCAUUAUUGCCAUUCACAGUGGACAAAUAAUACUAUGGUAAAAAACUUUUUCAAUCCCUUUCAAUUUCAAAAUUCAACAAAUUGAUCUCUUUCAAAAAAUUAAAAGUAAUUUAACCUAGAGAUGAUCAUGGGCCGGGCUAGGCCUAAAAAAUUUCGGCCCUCAUCCUAGGCUCGGACCCGGCCUAGCUCGAAAUAUGAGCCUAAAAUUUUGUCUAUGCCCGGCCCAGGAAAAAAAUCUUAAGCCCAAGUCUGGCCCGGCCGGGCCCAUUUUUUUAAUAAACACCAAAAAUUUAUUUUAAAAAUAAAAAAAGUAUUUUAAAAAUAUUUUAAAAUUAAAAAAAAUAAAAAUAUAUAUUAUAUAUUCGGGCCAGGCCGGGCCGAGCCCAGGACUAAAAAAGUGAUGCCCGAGGCCCGGCCGUUAUCUAAACGGACCUCUUUUUUUGCCUAAACCCAUAUUUCGGGCCUAUAAUUUUACCCGAAUCCUCCCAUAUUUCAAGCAGGCCGUCGGGCCGGCCAGGCCACCCGGCCCAUGAUCACCUCUAAUUUAACCUCUGUCAAUGUCAAUUUUAAAAGUGAACAACUAAGAACAAUUAAUCAUAAUGAUAAUAUUAAUGUUUUUCAUCAAUUGUACAUUAUUUUAAUUGGUAUAAUAAUAAAUUUACUCUUCAAAGUUCACACAUUCUAUUAAUUAGGUCCUAAUUUAACAAAUUAAUCCACAAAAUUUGUGUAAAUGUUGAGACUAAAUUUGUUAAAAAUUUUUAGAAUUAAGGCCAAAAUAACAAAAUAUGUAAACAUUAAAGGCUAAAUAAUACCAAUCAAAAUCAUGUAAAAUUGACAAAUGACAUUAACUCUAUGAUUAAUUGUCCUCAGUUGCUCACUUUCGAAGUUAACAGAGAUUAACUUGAUCCAAUUUUUUCGAAAGGGGCUAAUUUGCUGAAUUUCGAAAUUGAAAACGACUUUUACCUAUUUAUUGUAAAAAGAAAGCCUAAUCUUAUGUUUGAUACUUACUAAACUUCCACAUCUUACUUUAAAAACUGAAAACCAACUUUUAUCGUGUAAGGGAUGUAGCUUAAAGUAAAGCCUAAAGAGAAGAUGAAGAUCUUUGAAAAGCAUUGGAUAUACCUUCAAGAGCAGAGCAUCAUCCGACCAAGCUAACCUUCGCUCACAGGGUAGAGAAUGGCAAAACAACUAAGCUAUCUUUGAAUAAGUAGCUCGCUCUAAAUGAGCUAGUCAUGGAGACUCAAUUAACCUAGCUUAAAAGAAUAUCAUAUAUAAACCUUUAGACUUGCACAUUUCUUAGCAAUGUAGAAUUACUCAACAUUGCAAACUACUAACGACAAAGUCAGUUCUCAAAAGCAGCCAAAGUUGGUUUAAGGUUUCCAAAUGUAUGACAUGAGCAUUAUGGCAAAAGGUGCAAACAAGAGAAUGGAAAAGGGAUGCCAGUAAAGAAAUCUAGACAGCAACCUUGUCCAAGGUUAAAGGUUCAUUUGUGGAUUUGAAUGUGUUUCUGAUAAGCAACAACCUACAAAAACCCUUCAAAACUAACCUUAGCUCUACCAAACAACUUUCAACAGACGAUAAAAACUUCCCUAAGUGCAUAAAAGAGAUCAUGCCUAAAAUCUUACCAUGCUCCAUUAAUAUUUGACUCUUUUCCCAACCAAAGGAUCUUAUCUAUGAACAACCAAAGUUAUCAUUUGAGUCACCAAAGCAUGUGUUCACACCUUUUUUUUUUUUUUUUAAAAAGGUUAUUGCCAUUUUCUGAUUUUGCAGUUUUAGGAAAUCAAAUUCCACCAGCAUAUAUCCAGUUAAACUGGAUAGACAGAUCGAAAAUUUCACGAACAUGCAGAUUCGGAUUGCAACAAAUGUUUCAAAUGUCAAAUCUAAAGAAAAUAAGAUUUAAUAUAAUCAUAAACUAUUUUAAACCUUUCGAUGCAAAACUCUUCUAAAAUCUGACCUCCAAAAUAAUAAUGAUCAUAAUCGGCUAAGCAACUUCCAUAACGGAUCUGGCCUGCUGCCUGUAAGCUCAAUUUAAGAUCAAGAGAAAUCACUUAUAGAGAAUAUGAGCAUUUAUUGAUAGACUACAAGAGGAACAAAAAGACUGCCAUCGAGUUAUCAAAGUUUGGCGACUCAGCUUUUCCUCGGUAUCCGUUUCUGACUCGUAGAUCCUCGAGCAGGACUCACUCACGAUUGGACGGCGAAAGAUAAUCUUCAAUCUUGCCCAGGCAGGGAGAGAAGUUGGCUGGAAAUGAUGUGAUUGGUAUAGAGGGGAAUUUUGAGUUUUUCGCGCGUGGGAUUGAGCUGGCUAAGGAGAGGCACGGUUACAGAGACGGAGACAAGGUUGGUCGUAGCGCGUGUCUUUACGUCGAAGUAACUGUUUUUAAACUUGUU